UAGCCGGUGAAAGUCCGGUCGGAGUAAGCGCCAAGGUGCUCCGUAGCUAGGAUACUUGCGUAGAGAGAAAUCUGUGCGUAAAAGCGUAUCGACAAAAGUACCUGUCAGAGACAGGGCGAGCAAGUUACCAGACCGUAACAUAA
rnacentral:ncRNA from 1 species